rnacentral:rRNA from 1 species
UACGUAGGCUGCGAGCGUUGUUCGGAGUUACUGGGCGUAAAGGGUGUGUAGGCGGUUUUUUUCGUUUGGUGUGAAAUCUCCCGGCUCAACCGGGAGGGUGCGCCGAAUACUGAGGGACUAGAGUACGGGAGAGGAAAGUGGAAUUCCUGGUGUAGCGGUGAAAUGCGUAGAUAUCAGGAGGAACACCGGUGGUGUAGACGGCUUUCUGGACCGUAACUGACGCUGAGACACGAAAGCGUGGGGAGCAAACAGG